AAAAACAUAUGCUCAAAAACUUACAAGAUAUUUUUGAAUGACCUUUCUCGGUCAUAAAUGCACAAAAAAAGGAAUCUUGCCAGAUGACAAGAAAUAUGACGUCAUCAAAAACUAUGCAGUCCCGCAUGACGAUUCAAAUAGAAUUGCCUAGGCAAUCUCUAGAAAAAGCUUCAAAGCCCAACGUAUAUGAAGUCAUUAACAAUGACGAAGUACGCAAAGUAGUGACCUUGCAUGUAAAAAAUAAUUUCUGUUUUUUCAAACAUGGAAAA